CCUACGGUUGGCAGCAGUAGGGAAUAUUGCUCAAUGGGGGAAACCCUGAAGCAGCCACGCCGCGUGUAGGAUGAAGGUUUUAGGGUUGUAAACUCCUUUUGUGAGAGAGGAUAAUGACAGUAUCUCACGAAUAGGCACCGGCUAACGCCGUGCCAGCAGCCGCGGUAAUACGGAGGGUGCAAGCGUUACGCGGAAUCACUGGGCGUAAAGAGUACGCAGGCGGGUUUGUAAGUCAGAUGUGAAAUCCUGUAGCUUAACUACAGAACUGCAUUUGAAACUAUGAGUCUAGAGUGUGGGAGAGGUAGGUGGAAUUCUUGGUGUAGGGGUAAAAUGCGUAGAGAUCAAGAGGAAUACGCAUUGCGAAGGCGACCUACUGGAACAUGACUGACGCUCAUGUACGAAAGCGUGGGGAGCAAACAGGAUUAGAUACCCCGGUAGUC
rnacentral:rRNA from 1 species